rnacentral:rRNA from 1 species
CCUUUCAUGAUAUGUGAUAGGUGGGCAUGGCCGUCUUAGUUCGUGGAGUGAUCUGUCUGCUUAAUUGCGUUUCACUAGGGCCCAUAAAUUCAAGGUAUGUAGCUAUCGUUUCUCAAUUGACCCCUUGUCUUCGAUAAGCGCGUGUCUUUAGAGUUUAAACAUUGCGCAUGCUGUUGGGUCCUGAAAGCAACGAACGUGACCGCAACGUCUUAUUGCCUUUAUCUUGCUAUAUUUUAAUUUAAUUAAAAAUAGCUAACAGAGGCUAAUUUAAAAUUAGACGGACCGCUGUACUUUUCUUAAACCAGAGGAAGGUUGCGGCAAUAACAGGUCUGUGAUGCCCUUAGAUGUUCCGGGCUGCACACGUGCUACAAUGAUCAGUACAGUGAGCAUCUCAAUAUUAUACACCGUAUUAAGCGCUUGGUUGCGAUUAUUGGCUCAUUAUUGGGUCUUUUAAUUGUAUUUCCAAUGCGCGUAGUAAAGCCUGCUUCGAGAGUAAGUGGGUAAUCCAUUGGAAGUAAUGAUUUCUCUUUUUAUAGCACACCUAUAUACGGCAUUCAUUCCCGGGACGACUAGUUUCGUCUUUUUUGUGCGAAUGUAAUGUAUUCUUUAUCCGUAUGUGCGAUUGUCAAUUCAUGGUGGGGACAGACCAUUGUUAAUUGUUGGUCUCGGUCUUAACUAGGAAUGCCUUGUACGGGUCUUUGGUUCAACAAACCACCCGGAAUACGUCCCUGCCCUUUGUACACACCGCCCGUCGCUCUUACCGAUGAACUUCUUUGUGAGUCUAAGGGACUGGGUUAAUCUGUAAUUCUAUUAUGGAUAUACCUAUGGAAA